AUUACCAUCUUUUUGCAUCAAAUUUGAUGUGUCAUAUUCAUAUUUAUGUGUGUGUGUGUGUGUGUGUAUAUAUAUAUACUAAUAAUUCCGAACUACUUUGUCUUUGUUAUGAUUUUUUCUACUUUUGAUUUUGAAUUAUAUAUUAUUCGACUUGUUCUGUUAUUAACUCCAGGGAUUGUUGCUUCUUUGGGUUCUUUAUACUUGUGUACCUUGUGAAUGCAUCCCACGUUUCCUUGCAUGCACAUAGUCGUGAUAUAUAUAGUUGGUCAUGAAUGAAUGAGAGAGAUUAUUUUGUAUCUCUAAUAUGUAUAAUAAAAGUGAAAAUUGAAGAUAUUGAUUUGUUCUCUUCUGUUUUUUAGAAAACACUUCUCAAGAAUUCUGAAAACCGAAUUAGACCAUUUUUUGGAAAUUGAUUGAUUUAUUUAUUUUUUAAUUAAUUCAGUUUUCUGAACACUGUAUUUUUUGAAAACUGUCAACGAAAUGAAUAUUUGUAAUUCUGUACUCUUUUUCUGUUUUCCAGUUAUUUGAUAUGAUGAACAGAUAAGUGAAUGAAACAAGCUCUAUAAAAACAUGUUUGGUUUAGAAACAUAAUUCUCAUAGAAUUAUAAUAUACUAUUAUUAUCUGAAAUUUCCUUUUUUAUAACUUAAUUUUCCAGAAAUUUCUUUUAGAAAACUUUCAAACCAAAGAAUUUGAGUUGUUUAAUGUUUUUUUAGUUAUCCUAGAAAUAAAAAAUUGGAGCAAUUAAGCAAACCGAAUUUAUAAGAACUCUAUAAUUAGUUUCCAACAUUUCCUUAUUGUUUCCUGCAUUCUUACAAAGCCAUUUCCACAUCAAGUUUGGUCUUAAAACAUACUUCUCAUUGAUUGAUGGAAAUGUUCAAUGAGAAUUAUGUGACAUCUCACCUUACCUCAUUAUAACGAUGUUCAGAUAUUAUGGAAAAUAUGAAGUGUUUAGAUAUAUUUGACAUGUAUAGAAAAAUUAGAAGUGUAAGGAGGUCGCUUGGUGCUUAACUGACUAGAGCUCAGCUUGGCUUGUUUAAUAAAUGAACAAGCUUGAAUGAGUCUCGACAUGAGUAGAGUCAUGUUGCAUACCCUUGUGUUGUACAUAAACUUCUCACUGAUAAUUCAGCUACCACAAGGAAAAUAUUACAUUCGGUAUUCAAUGCUUUAUUUGCUGAACUGAAUUACUACUUUUUCGUUUUUAUUGGUUUUUACCAUGUUAUGCUCCUAAAUCUGUUCAUUAACCUUUAUAGUGACUGAAUUUUUUCAAAUAUUAUUGGUAAUGUUAGUAACUGAAAAUCUUGAAUGUGAUAUCUAAACUAAAAGUUUAGAACUGGAGGAUAUACGUGCUCUGUAUCAGAAAUCAGAAUCAUGCAUGUGACAAGUCCACGCAAUACAUUUACCUCAAUUUGCCCCUGCUUAACAAUCACAGCCACUGUUUUAUCCAUAUGGUUGGAGAGUAGGCAUAUAAAUUUUUAAUGACGUAGAAGAAAACUAUAAUGACAGAGGAUGAUUUCAACCCAAUUCCUGACUUUUACAUGAGCUCUGCAUCCUGAUAUACUUUUAUACUCGAUUCACAUUACUGUUUACUAUAUUGGAACUCGAAUUCUUUGUUGUUAAUUGCUAUGAUUGUUAGGAAGAUUUUAUUCACUUUAUUAGCAUCUUGUGUUUGCUUUACUCUAUAUGUUUUUGUCAGGUUGUAUUAAACAGAAGGAGAGAGUUUCAAUGGCAAAAGCUUGUUCUUUUCUUAAAAGUAGGGACAACAAGUGGAUGACUCUUGAAUCUUGAAUGGCAGACUUAGAAAGAAAAAACAUUACACCUAGAGACGGAUGUGGAACUAGUUCAAGAUUAUCAUCUUCUUUUGGGAUACCUGGGUGUGCUUCUUAGGGUAUUAGAAUAUGAUGACGGGCACUACAAUGAGGAUAUCAAGACAAGAAAAACAAUUUCUAGAAGAGUGAGCAAUUGCCUUAAUAUUUUGAUUUUUUGUGGCUACUUGCCAGGUUACAAUUUUUGUGGGUAUAUAUAUAUGUCAACAAUUAUGGAAUUGUACAUUGAAGUCUUUAAUGAAUAUAAGACUUCUUGAAAUUUGUUUGUGA